rnacentral:rRNA from 1 species
AUACGGAGGAUGCGAGCGUUAUCCGGAUUUAUUGGGUUUAAAGGGAGCGUAGGUGGGAUAUUAAGUCAGCUGUGAAAGUUUGGGGCUCAACCUUAAAAUUGCAGUUGAUACUGGUUUCCUUGAGUACGGUACAGGUGGGCGGAAUUCGUGGUGUAGCGGUGAAAUGCUUAGAUAUCACGAAGAACUCCGAUCGCGAAGGCAGCUCACCGGGCCGGAACUGACACUGAUGCUCGAAAGUGCGGGUAUCAAACAGGAUUAGAUACCCUGGUAGUCCGCACAGUAAACGAUGAAUACUCGCUGUUUGCGAUACACUGUAAGCGGCCAAGCGAAAGCGUUAAGUAUUCCACCUGGGGAGUACGCCGGCAACGGUGAAACUCAAAUGAAUUGGCGGGG